CGGGUGAGUAAUACAUCGGAACGUGUCUUCUAGUGGGGGAUAACUGCCCGAAAGGGCAGCUAAUACCGCAUGAGCCUGAGGGUGAAAGCGGGGGAUCGCAAGACCUCGCGCUGGAAGAGCGGCCGAUGUCCGAUUAGCUAGUUGGUGAGGUAAAGGCUCACCAAGGCGACGAUCGGUAGCUGGUCUGAGAGGACGACCAGCCACACUGGGACUGAGACACGGCCCAG
rnacentral:rRNA from 1 species